UAGGGAAUCUUCCGCAAUGGACGCAAGUCUGACGGAGCAACGCCGCGUGAGUGAAGAAGGAUUUCGGUUCGUAAAACUCUGUUGUUAGAGAAGAACAGCGCAUAGAGUAACUGUUAUGCGUGUGACGGUAUCUAACCAGAAAGCCACGGCUAACUACGUGCCAGCAGCCGCGGUAAUACGUAGGUGGCAAGCGUUGUCCGGAUUUAUUGGGCGUAAAGCGAGCGCAGGCGGUCAAUUAAGUCUGAUGUGAAAGCCCCCGGCUCAACCGGGGAGGGUCAUUGGAAACUGGUUGACUUGAGUGCAGAAGAGGAGAGUGGAAUUCCAUGUGUAGCGGUGAAAUGCGUAGAUAUAUGGAGGAACACCAGUGGCGAAGGCGACUCUCUGGUCUGUAACUGCCGCUGAGGCUCGAAAGCGUGGGUAGCAAACAGG
rnacentral:rRNA from 1 species